CGCGGGAUAGAGCAGUUUGGUAGCUCGUCGGGCUCAUAACCCGAAGGUCGUUGGUUCAAAUCCGGCUCCCGCAACCA
rnacentral:tRNA from 5 species